rnacentral:rRNA from 1 species
GAUGCCAAUCCCUAAAGCCCCUCUCAGUUCGGAUCGAAGUCUGCAACCCGACUUCGUGAAGCUGGAUUCGCUAGUAAUCGCGCAUCAGCCACGGCGCGGUGAAUACGUUCCCGGGCCCUUGUACACACCGCCCGUCAAGCCAUGGGAGCCGGGGGUACCUGAAGUACGUAACCGCAAGGAGCGUCCUAGGGUAAAACUGGUGACUGGGGCGUAAGUCGUAACAAGGUAAC